UGGGGAAUUUUGCGCAAUGGGCGAAAGCCUGACGCAGCAACGCCGCGUGGGUGAUGAAGGUCUUCGGAUCGUAAAACCCUGUCGUCAGGGACGAAGGUUCUGGGGUGAACAGCCCCAGGAUUUGACGGUACCUGGAGAGGAAGCCCCGGCUAACUCUGUGCCAGCAGCCGCGGUAAUACAGAGGGGGCAAGCGUUAUUCGGAAUUACUGGGCGUAAAGCGCACGUAGGCGGACCGAUAAGUCGGGGGUGAAAUCCUGGAGCUCAACUCCAGAACUGCCUUCGAAACUGCCGCUCUUGAGUUCGGGAGAGGUGAGUGGAACUGCGAGUGUAGAGGUGAAAUUCGUAGAUAUUCGCAAGAACACCAGUGGCGAAGGCGGCUCACUGGCCCGAUACUGACGCUGAGGUGCGAAAGCGUGGGGAGCAAACA
rnacentral:rRNA from 1 species